AUAAAAAUAAUUUAAUUUUUAAUAUUUAAAAUUUUUAAUUUUUUAUUAAUACGAAUUAUUUUUUAUU
rnacentral:tRNA from 1 species